rnacentral:piRNA from 1 species
UUCCAAAAGAAUUUCAUUGUU